UAUUCAACUACAAGAACUUA
rnacentral:tRNA from 1 species